CUUUNGGGGCCNUGCGNUAUCAGAUGAGCCUAGGUCGGAUUAGNUAGUUGGUGAGGUAAUGGCUCCACCAAGGCGACGAUCCCGUAACUGGUCUGAGAGGAUGAUCAGUCACACUGGAANUGAGACACGGUCCAGACUCCUACGGGAGGCAGCAGUGGGGAAUAUUGGACAAUGGGCGAAAGCCUGAUCCAGCCAUGCCGCGUGUGUGAAGAAGGUCUUCGGAUUGUAAAGCACUUUAAGUUGGGAGGAAGGGCAGUAAAUUAAUACUUUGCUGUUUUGACGUUACCGACAGAAUAAGCACCGGCUAACUCUGUGCCAGCAGCCGCGGUAAUACAGAGGGUGCAAGCGUUAAUCGGAAUUACUGGGCGUAAAGCGCGCGUAGGUGGUUUGUUAAGUUGGAUGUGAAAUCCCCGGGCUCAACCUGGGAACUGCAUUCAAAACUGACAAGCUAKAGUAUGGUANAGGGUGGUGGAAUUUCCUGUGUAUCGGUGAAAUGCGUAUAUAUACGAAGGAACACCNNUGGCAANGCGACNACCUUGGACUGAUACUGACNCUGAGGUGCGAAACCGUGGGGGA
rnacentral:rRNA from 1 species